UCAUUCAGGCCUCUUGCAACUCUUCAAUAAAAUCAUAGUGAUGUUACUGAAGUUAGUCUGCAGCAUAACUCAUGAAUCAGAAGAGAGGUACAGGCUGUUAAAGGAAGAGGAGGAUUCUGCUAAUAUGAACACAUGUUUAGGGAAGUGAGAAGAAAAGUUGGUUCCAACAUGCCAUCUGUAUUCCAGCCAUCGUUUCAAUACAAAAUGCUGAAAUUCUGAAGAUGGGACAAAGCACUAUGAAAUAUACUGCAGGGAAACCACCUAUGCUUUUCUAUGGCUGGAAGCGAAGAAGAAAAGCCUGAUGACACAAAAGAUGGAUAUUUGUCCCAGGACUGUUAAUUCCAAGAGUGCUAUGAUGAGGGAAACAUAUACUUCUCUUAAUUUCACUAUAAUAAGGACCUACAUGAUUUCAGACCAUCUCCAUAUGCCUCAAGCUUGAUCCUUGUACUGUUCCGUUAUUUAUUUUUUUUUUACCUUCAGAGUGCCAAAUUAAAAUAAUUUCUUCAGUCUUGUACUUUAACAUACCUAGUCUAGCUCCAGUUAUGGAAUAUACACUACCUCUCAAACUCUCACUCCAGCAUAAAAAUGCUGUCUUAAAGCUGAUGCUUCCUUCUCUCCCUUUCAUUUCUUCUAGAUUUAGCUUUCUCCCCAUUAGCAAGCUCCCAGCUCUCUGCACAGGAAGCUACUGUUCUAAUUGAACGCGCUUUACAAAUUGCACAAUUGCCAGUAUGGUGUCCUAGUGUUAUAUGUAUUCCAAGUUUGAAAACACACUUUCAGCAAAAAAUGUGCUGUAGUCAACUUUUCAGUCCCUUUGCCUUGUUUCCAUCAUGAAUCAUAUGUCCCAUCUUCCUCUUCAGCCUGCUAGUACAUUUGUGUGUUAUGGAAAUCACAGAUUUUUUGGGUUCCUCCUGACUUUGAAUGCUAAGCGCUUUUCUUUCUGGGAACCAUCCUGGGCUUGACUAUGACAGUGCUAAACAGGCUUUUUAUUUCAGCUGAAGGUCUGCCUCCUGUGUUUGCUGAGCACUGGUGCCCACCUUGUGAUUUUUAGCAGAAAGCUCAAUAGACUGUGAAUUAAUUAGUUUGGGAUUUACUGCAGGCCAGAAUGAGACAUGCACAAAGAUAUUUUAAAUUGUUGGCUCUUGCUGGCACUCGGCAUGAUUUUGAUUCACACCUACCUGACAUGCCUGAACAUCUUGGCUACAGGUGGCUGUGUUUGGACUAGUUCAUUUAUAAAUCCUAUCAGAAAACUAAGGUUACCCUCCACAGACCUUUGCUAAAGAGAAAGAAAAAAAAACCACCACGUUUAUAAUUCAAUAGUAUAAACUCAAAGCCAAUGGUUAAUUUUCCUGGAUACAUAGUAUGAUUAAGCACACAGAGAAGGAUCUCUUCUCCACUUGAGCUUUUUUUCUGAGUCACCGUAACUCUUGUGGGUCAUUCACAACAUGACAUGUAAUAAGGGCUGACUACUCAACAGUUUUGGUGACAAUGGUCAGUUCUUUUAUUUUAU